AUCUACAGCUAUACCACCCUGAAUGCACUUGAUCUCAUCUGAUCUUGGAAGCUAAGCAGCGUCAGGCCUGGUGAGUACUUAGAUGGGAGAACUUAUCCAGUGUGAAAAACAGACAGAAAAGUAAUUU
rnacentral:rRNA from 1 species